AAUCUUCCGCAAUGGACGAAAGUCUGACGGAGCAACGCCGCGUGAGUGAAGAAGGUCUUCGGAUCGUAAAACUCUGUUGUUAGGGAAGAACAAGUAUCGUUCGAAUAGGGCGGUACCUUGACGGUACCUAACCAGAAAGCCACGGCUAACUACGUGCCAGCAGCCGCGGUAAUACGUAGGUGGCAAGCGUUGUCCGGAAUUAUUGGGCGUAAAGCGCGCGCAGGCGGUCUUUUAAGUCUGAUGUGAAAGCCCACGGCUCAACCGUGGAGGGUCAUUGGAAACUGGAAGACUUGAGUGCAGAAGAGGAGAGUGGAAUUCCACGUGUAGCGGUGAAAUGCGUAGAGAUGUGGAGGAACACCAGUGGCGAAGGCGACUCUCUGGUCUGUAACUGACGCUGAGGCGCGAAAGCGUGGGGAGCAAACAGGAUUAGAUAUCCUGGUAGUCCACGCCGUAAACGAUGAGUGCUAAGUGUUAGAGGGUUUCCGCCCUUUAGUGCUGCAGCUAACGCAUUAAGCACUCCGCCUGGGGAGUACGACCGCAAGGUUGAAACUCAAAGGAAUUGACGGGGGCCCGCACAAGCGGUGGAGCAUGUGGUUUAAUUCG
rnacentral:rRNA from 1 species